GUAUUUUUAUGUUUUUUAAUCUAAUUUUACUGCUUGCAUGAGUUACUUGAUUUGGAAUAGAGUUCCACGUAGUCAUGGCUCUAUAUAGUACUCUACGCCUCCCAUAGUCUGUUCUGGGGACUGUGAAGAGACAUCUGCUGGCAUGUCUUGCAGGGUAUGCAUGGGUGUCCGAGCUGUGUGCCAGUAGUUCAGCUUGUUACAUUCAACAAUGUCAAAACAUCUCAAAUACGAGUUGUGAUGAAGUCAAUCUCUCCUCCACGAUAAAACGUAUCGGUACUCAUCGGCCAAUGGACAUAAACAUUACAGAAGAAAUUGGAAAUCGCAAUUUCAACAAUGAGUGGUUUGGAAGGAAUCAGUGGCUAACUGCAGGCAUUGCAAAGCAAUCACUAGCCUGAUAUUCAGUGGAGUGGGUGUGUGGUCCAAGUCUGGGUUUAAGGGUAUAUUUUCAAAGCUUAAAAGGAUAAACAUUCAACUGGCAAUGCUGUCAAUCCAGCAUGACUUCUGCCGCACUCAAAACAACUGGAAACUCGGAACUGGGAAAUCUCAGACUUCAGUGAGUUUAAGACAACUAAACUCAGCAAAAAAAGAAAUGUCCUCUCACUGUCAACUGCGUUUAUUUUCAGCUUAACAUGUGUAAAUAUUUGUAUGAACAUAAGAUUAAACACCUGAGACAUAAACUGAACAAGUUCCACAGACAUGUGACUAACAGAAAUGGAAUAAUGUGUCCCUGAACAAAGGUGGGGGUGGGGGUCAAAAUCAAAAGUAACAGUCAGUAUCUUCUCCUUUAGAUGACACAAGACGAUUAUCUUUCAACUAUAACAACAAUCACAGAUUUGUCACCGUCUUAAUGGCUCUUCUUGGAUAGCUCCCCUCUCUUGGUAGCCAUUCUACAGAGAUAGUUUAUCUCCCCCCCAUUCCUACUGGUUCCCUCCUCUCUCUUAUAGGGGAAAGAGAAUAUGUCAUUAGUACCGUCAGCUGUGCUUAAUUGCCUCAGGUUACCUGGUCUCACAUGCCUUGUUGGGCUACUAUCUGUGAGCCCAGCCUGCCCUCUGGUGGUCCUUCCACAUUAGAUACAAAGUAUCUCAAAUGAGAAAAACAUGUCUAGCCUGUGGUUUCUUCCUCUACUAUCUCGGCCUUGAGGCUGCAUUACUAUCAGCAGGUGCAGGCAAUUCUCAGCCUGAGAUCUAAAGCAGUACAUCUCCAUUUACCCAGUACUCUUCCAUCAUUGUGCAUUGCAAGUAUACAAAGGUUAUCACAUAUAUACAGUGACCAUGGCAUUGUUGUAGCCCCACACCUGACCUCCAGGGAAACCCCCAACAGGUGCAUGUUCAUUAAAUGUUUAUGGUUCUGUCACACCCUGAUCUGUUUCAUCUGUCUUGUGAUUGUCUCUAUCCCCUCCCGGUGUUGCUUAUUUUCCCUGGUGUAUUUAUCCCUGUGUUUCCUGUCUCUCUGUGCCAGUUUGUCUUGUAUGUUUUUCAAGUCAACCAGCGUUUAUCCCGUACUCCUGCUUCUAUUCUCUUUCGCUAGUCCUCCCGGUUUUUGACCCUUGCCUGUUUUUCUGGACUCUGUGCCCGCCUGCCUGACCUGACCUCGAGCCUGCCUGCCACUCUGUACCUCCUGGACUCUGAACUGGUUUUGACCUUUUGCCUGUCCAUGACCAUUCUCUUGCCUACCCCUUUUGGAUUGUUUAAUAGAUAUCAAGACUCAAACCAUCUGCCUCCCGUGUCUGCAUCUGGGUCACGCCUUGUGCCCUCAUAGAGUAAUUGAACAAUUCCCAGUUGUCUUGAAGACACCAUAAAUCCAGAGAAUGACAGACUUUGAUAAAGUCUGAUGACAAAUUUGCCCACGAAAGACCACAGCGCCACCUUCUUGUUCAAGUGAGCACAACAAGGAUAAAGUUUGAAAACCAGCUCCAGCAGCAGAUAGAAGAGAAUAAGCACAUUCAUGAAGCCCAAACAGACUGUCUGCUGAAAUAGAGAGGAUAGAAAACACCAAGUCUCAGCUGUUGAAAGCUGGUUUGAACCUCUACACAUGAUGACUGUAGUGUACUGUAGACUUUAACAUGGGGCUAGUGCACCAUCGGGUGUGCAACUAUGAUGUAUCUGUGCUUGAUAUGAGUGUGUGCAUGCGUGUGUUCAUAGAACAACUGAAGUUGUCUCAGCUCUGCUAUCUAGAGGAGGUGCUGGAUGAGGCCAAGAGACAGAGACAACAGACACACACAAAGACUAAACCCUGGAACUACACACUGAUAGUGGCCACAGUGUAAAUCAAAGUUACAGAUGCUCCCAUGCUCAGCAAACUGGUGAACGUUUUGGGAUUGUUCUUAUUUUAAAUGUAUUUAAAUUAAAUUAUUUAACUAGGCAAUUGUUCUUCUGCCCUUGAUAUUGUGUAUUGUAUUCCUCUGUUUGGAAUUGUGGUUCUGGAUGAAUUGUACAUAUUAUUUGAUUUUCUUAUUCAGGCUUUAUUUAAUGGAAGCGGAUAUUCGACUGGCAGAAGACAAAUGCAAGAUUUGGAAUAGGUGUCAAAAUGAAUGAAGGUUAGGUGUAGUUUCAGUGAGGUUAGGUGUAGUUUCAGUGAGGUUAGGUGUAGUUUUAGUGAGGUUAGGGAAAGGCAUAAUAGACAUUAAAAUGGAGUUAGCAUAGGCUUCUGCUGGUCAAAUAUACAGUAUACUGUAUAUACACGGCCAAUGGCUGUGAUGAGAACAACUACGUCCCUUAUAAAGAGCUCAAGGAUCUUUCCUGGUUAAAGGUUAAAUAAAUACCACUGUGUAUGUGUGUCCUCUGGCUUGUGAGCAACCUUUACAUGCAUUACACUGUAACAAUCUGUAAUUAUGUUAAUUAUAGCAUCAGCACCAUUCCACCUGACAAGUUGUAUGUACUAAUGCUGUAGAACCUGUUGACGGGUGGGAGGGAGCUGAGAGACACACACACACAGAGCUGAGGCCAUGGCUGCAUGCUCCUCUCUGAGGUCUGUUGAACCUGAGAACUUGUCAGUCUCCUUCGCAAGGUUCAGUUUUCAUCCCUCUAGUAUUAUGUCACAUAUUGGUGGAGUCAAACCUACAGUAACUGAUUUUUCUGGUUCCUUCAUUCUGGUGUGUGUGUCACAAUAUAUUAUCAUGAAGGUACACACCACAACUCUACAGGGAAGGUAAUCUAAGGCCAACUCAGAGGUACCUAACACAGUGUGUCAUGUGUUAGUUGUUUAACUAACACAUAUGUAAUUUAUGAUUACAGGUACUCAAACAACCACAGACAUACAGGGAAAACCACACACACUGCUGACAUGGCAUGUUACUGCGUACCUUUACUCACCACAGAGGGAUGACCUUCCAGCAUUUCAGCUCCACUAUGUGUGUGUGUUGGUGUGACUUCAGUGCAUUUUGGCUGCAGUGAGUCACCUGAAAUGCAGGUGUGACAUUAUUUGAGGGUAGGUAGCAACACAUCUGCCACACUGAUCCUCAACACUGGAGCCCCCCAGGGGUGCGUGCUCAGUCCCCUCCGGUACUCCCUGUUCACCCACAACUGCAUGGCCAGGCACGACUCCAACACCAUCAUUAAGUUUGCAGACGACACAACAGUGGUAGGCCUGAUCACCGACAACGACGAGACGGAGGUCAGAGACCUGUCCGGGUGGUGCCAGAAUAACAACCUCUCCCUCAAUGUAACCAAGACUAAGGAGAUGAUUGUGGACUACAGGAAAAGGAGGACCGAGCACAACCCCAAUCUCAUCGACGGGGCUGUAGUAGAGCAGGUUGAGGGCUUCAAGUUCCUUGGUGUCCACAUCACCAACAAACUAGAAGGGUCCAAAGACACCAAGACAGUCGAAUAGGGCAUGACAAAGCCUAUUCCCCCUCAGGAAACUAAAAGGAUUUGGCAUGGGUCCUAUGAUCUUCAAAAGGUUCUACAGCUGCAACAUCGAGAACUGGUUGCAUCACUGCCUGGUACAACAAUUGCUCAGCCUCCGACCACAAGGCAUUACAGAGGGUAGUGCGUACGGCCCAGUAUAUCACUGGGGCUAAGCUGCCUGCUAUCCAGGACCUCUACACCAGGCGAUGUCAGAGGAAGGCCCAAAAAAUUGUCAAAGACCCCAGCCACCCAGUCAUAGACUGUUCUCUCUACUACUGCAUGGCAAGCGGUACCGGAGUGCUAAGUCAAGGACAAAAAGGCUUCUCAACAGUUUUUACCCCCAAGCCAUGAGACUCCUGAACAGGUAAUCAAAUGGCUACCCAGACUAUUUGCAUUGUGUGCCCCCCCCCAACCCCUCUUUUAUGCUGCUGCUACUCUGUUUAUUAUAUAUGCAUAGUCACUUUAACUAUACAUUCAUG
ensembl:lncRNA